UAAUAAUAAUAAUAAUAAUAAAUAAAUAAAUAAAUAAUAAAAAAUUAAAUAAUAGCAAAAAUAACCAACAGGACAAAAUUGAAACUAAAACAGAAAUUUAGGGGAAAAUCUGAAAUAAAUAAAAAGAAAAGGACCACAUUGAAUGCGCGAAUAACAAAGAGGGACCAAAAGGAAAAUUAAUCUCUGCCCUCCAAAACGACGUCAUUCGAUUAUGGACCUAAUUGAAAUCGAAACGAAUUCUAGGGUACAAAUUAAAGAUAAGAAAAUACUUGAUUGCAAAACCAUAAAAAAUGGAAGGGCUAAAAGCCAAAUUAGCCUCUCCAUUAGAAAACGCGCGGAUCCUAGGACUGGAUCAGGUCGGCACGCGGAUCAUGCCUUAUACGGCGCCGUAUUAGGGCCACUAAAACAGACCCUAAACGACGCCGUUUUAUACUUACUAUAAAAUCAAAAAAAAAUUUUAAAAAUCAUUUUCGGCCAUUUUUACAAGAAAAAAACAAAUCAACCCUAGCUUUCUCUGCUUGGGUUUCUAAAUUUUUCUAUGCCGCCACCAGCAACCGUUCUAAGGCCUCCGAUCCUCUCCCGAUCUCCGAUUGCGACGGAGUGGACAACACCAGGUAAACCUAGUCCCUUAACUGUUUCUUUCUCUUUUUUUAUAUACAAUGAAUAAAUAAAAAUGAUUCAAGAGCGAAAAAAAAUCGUCCAUAGAGAGAAAAAAAAUGAAAGUCACCUUUCAAAAUUCACUGCUAUUUGUUCUCUUUUUUUAUUGAUUUUUCGAAUCCCCUUUUACAGAUUUGAUUGGCUCCUUUUAUAGCAAAAAAAAAUGAAAUUCUCGAAACUAUUUUUUACAUUUUUUUCCUAUUUUCUGUUAUUAUUUGUUGUAUUUCUAUUAUUCUGCUUGUUGCUACUUUGUUGCGUUUGUUACGUUGCAGGUAUGGCUAGCCUGGAGGCACACGUGGAAAGCGUGGCGCGCAUGGAGGGCGGAUGGAGGAGCAGCGGCUGAGGGUGAUGCUAGGGUUACUGCUAAAACUGUUUAGGGUUAUUGGGCUAGGUAUUUGGGUUUAGUUUAUUGGGCUGGGGUUAAUUGUAAUUGGGCCUUGUAAUUUGGACUGAAUUAGAUUUGGGUUUAUUUUUACUAUAAAUGGACUGGACGUUUAUUUUUUUAUUUUUUUUAUUUGGUUUUUAUUUCAAUCGGGCCCGGGCAAAUUGGGCCGAUUACACACUAGAACUGGGCUUGCUCUUUCUAGCGCAUAGGCUCCUCAAACAACUCUUUCGCAAUGGUCACGUGCUAUGCCAAUGAUUACAGACUUAAGGAGAGUUCGAUUAGAAAAAGCAUCAAUGUUGAUUUUAAUGACACUUGAAGGUGGUUUUUGUCAGCAGUCCGUUGGCUCAUUUACUUGCCUUAUAUGAAAGCAUGCAUGCUAUCUUCUGUGAAUUCAUGAAAGUCCUUAAGAGCUCUUUUCCAAACCAAGACAUGAUGUUCAUCCUUUUCUUCAAGUAGAAAUAAGUUUCGAGAUUUCCAC
rnacentral:lncRNA from 1 species